rnacentral:misc_RNA from 1 species
AACGCACAUUGCGCCCCUUGGUAUUCCGAGGGGCAUGCCUGUCCGAGCGUCAUUUCAAAAUCCAGCCCCAGGCUUGGUGUUGGGCUUCCAUUACCCGCGAUAGGGUAGGCCCGAAAGACCUGCGGAGGCCGCCGCCGGCCCUGACCCCAGUGAAUCUCCAGGCUGAUGGGUCCGGUGGUGAUGUCCGGCUAAAACCACGGGAGGGGGAAGUGAUGGUCCCUAGGAGAGGUGUCAAAAGCCUUUCCGGGGGAUCUCCUCCCUCGCCCGCUUCUUCUGUUUGACCUCGGAUCAGGUAGGGAUACCCCCUGAACUUAA